AUAGAAUUUAUUUAUUAAUAAUUUUUUUUUAUUUAUUAUUUUAUUAAAAGUAAUUAUAUAAUGUAUUGUUUUAGUAAUUUAUAAAGAAAAAAUAAUAAUAAUUAUAGUUUAAUAGUAUUGUAAAAGAAAAUUGAAAUAAUUUGAAAAAUUUUUAUUUUAAAAGAAAAUUUAAUUUAUUGUAUCUUGUGUAUCAGGGUUUAUUAAUUAAAAAUUAUUUAUUAUAAUUUUCUCGAUUUUAAAAGAUUUAAUAUAUUAUAAAAUUUAAUGUAAUAAAAUUACUUUUAAUAAUAUAUUAGAAAUGAAAUGUUAUUCGGUUUUAAAGGUAUCUAGUUCUUUAAGAAAUAAAUUUAAUUUAUAAAUUUUAUAUUAUUUAAUUUAGUAUAUAAAUUAAAUAAAUAUUUAAUUUUAAUAUUUUAUGGGAUAAGCUAUAAAAUAAAUUUUUAAAAAUUAAUAAAUAAAUUAUUAAAUAUAAACUUAAAAAUAGUUAUUAUUAAUGAAAAUGUUAUAAUUUAUUUUAUUUUUAUUAUUAUUUAUUAUUAUUUUAAUUUUUUAUUAAAGUAUUUAUUUAAAUUAAAUUAAUAAAAUAAUAAUGAUAAAAUUAGUAUAAAUAAUAUAUAUAUAUAUAUAUAUAUAUAAAUAAAUUAUUAUGGAAAGUUUUAUUAAGGAAUUCGGCAAAAUUAAUAUUCGCCUGUUUAACAAAAACAUGUCUUUUUUUAUUUUAUAAAAAGUCUGACCUGCCCACUGAUUUUUUUUAAUGGCCGCAGUAUUUUAACUGUGCAAAGGUAGCAUAAUCAUUAGUCUUUUAAUUGAAGGCUGGAAUGAAUGGUUGGACGAAAUAUUAACUGUUUCAAAAAUAUUUUAAAUAGAAUUUUAUUUUUUAGUUAAAAAGCUAAAAUAUUUUUAAAAGACGAGAAGACCCUAUAAAUCUUUAUAUUUAUAUUUGUUAUAUAUUUAUAAAAAUUUUUUUAUAUAAUUAAUUAAAAUAUUUUAUUGGGGUGAUAUUAAAAUUUAAUAAACUUUUAAUUUUGUUUUUCAUUAAUUUAUGAAUAAUUGAUCCUUUAUUAAUGAUUAAAAAUUUAAGUUACUUUAGGGAUAACAGCGUAAUUUUUUUGGAGAGUUCUUAUUGAUAAAAAAGAUUGCGACCUCGAUGUUGGAUUAAGAUAUAAUUUUAGGUGCAGUUGCUUAAAUUUUAAGUCUGUUCGACUUUUAAAUUCUUACAUGAUCUGAGUUCAAACCGGCGUAAGCCAGGUUGGUUUCUAUCUUUAAAAAAUUAAAAUAUUUCAGUACGAAAGGACCUUAUAUUUAAUAAAUUAUUAUUUUUUAUUGAAUAUUAAUAAUA
rnacentral:rRNA from 1 species